GAUGAACGCUGGCGGCGUGCCUAAUACAUGCAAGUCGAGCGAACAGACGAGGAGCUUGCUCCUCUGACGUUAGCGGCGGACGGGUGAGUAACACGUGGAUAACCUACCUAUAAGACUGGGAUAACUUCGGGAAACCGGAGCUAAUACCGGAUAAUAUAUUGAACCGCAUGGUUCAAUAGUGAAAGACGGUUUUGCUGUCACUUAUAGAUGGAUCCGCGCCGCAUUAGCUAGUUGGUAAGGUAACGGCUUACCAAGGCAACGAUGCGUAGCCGACCUGAGAGGGUGAUCGGCCACCCUGGAACUGAGACACGGUCCAGACGCCUACGGGAGGCAGCAGUAGGGAAUCUUCCGCAAUGGGCGAAAGCCUGACGGAGCAACGCCGCGUGAGUGAUGAAGGUCUUCCGAUCGUAAAACUCUGUUAUUAGGGAAGAACAAAUGUGUAAGUAACUAUGCACGUCUUGACGGUACCUAAUCAGAAAGCCACGGCUAACUACGUG
rnacentral:rRNA from 1 species